rnacentral:rRNA from 1 species
UACCAGCACCCCGAGUGGUCGGGACGUUUAUUGGGCCUAAAGCAUCCGUAGCCGGUUCUACAAGUCUUCCGUUAAAUCCAGCUGCUUAACAGAUGGGCUGCGGAAGAUACUAUGGAGCUAGGAGGCGGGAGAGGCAAGCGGUACUCGAUGGGUAGGGGUAAAAUCCGUUGAUCCAUUGAAGACCACCAGUGGCGAAGGCGGCUUGCCAGAACGCGCUCGACGGUGAGGGAUGAAAGCUAGGGGAGCAAACAGG